rnacentral:rRNA from 1 species
UACGUAGGGGGGCAAGCGUUGUCCGGAUUUAUUGGGCGUAAAGAGCGUGUAGGCGGCCAUACAGGUCAGCUGUGAAAACUCGAGGCUCAACCUCGAGACGUCGGUUGAAACCGUUUGGCUAGAGUCCGGAAGAGGAGAGUGGAAUUCCCGGUCGUAGCGGUGAAAUGCGCAGAUAUCGGGAAGAACACCCGUGGCGAAGG